rnacentral:lncRNA from 1 species
UAUAACUGAUAAUCGUCUUUCCCCCCCCCCCCCCAAACAUGCAGUCACGACUAGACUAACGAAGAGCUCUCGCACAAACCGUACCUCAUGCUUUCAUUUCCUUUAGGUCCAAAAGAAGAGCGAGUUUGAAGCCUUGCGUCUGAGCCUGACCUCCGCCCACAUGUGUCAGCCGGAGCAGGAGUCUGCUCUCACUAAGGUCCAGGGGUCCCUAAAGGAGACACUUGCCCAGGAAAGUGCACUCCUGCAAGACCGGCAUCAGUCAGAUCUGGACCAGACCAGACGGCAGAACCAGGAGCAGCAGGAGAAACUGCGAGAGCUGCACCAACGAGACAUGAGUGAGUGCAGACCAGAGUGCUUUUCAGUUAUUCAGUCAGCGUUCAUUUUCAUAUUCACCCGUAGGUGCACUCAACAUGCGUGCUGUUAUGGAUGUAGGUUGAACGUGGUCGACUCUUUUCAUUUGUUUUGUAUGCAUGUUCAGAUGAGUUGAAGCAGCAGUGGGAGACUCGUGUUGCUCAGGAGAGAGCUGCCAUGGAGGAAGAGCAGGCCAAAGAGCUGCAGGUCAAGCUUGAUAAAACAUAUUGUACAAAUGUUGCGUUUCAUUUAUACGAAUUUAUACCAUAUGAGAUUCAUUUUAAUCAUACAUUUCACUUCAUCUUGGUAUUCUCUUUUCCUCAGGCUUUAAGGUCACAGUUGGGUAAGGAUGCUGAGGGCACCCAGCCAAACCUCCAGACCUCUCUCUCAGAGACCCAGGCAGAACUCGCCAGCACCCAGGCCUCCCUCAUCCAGACCAACAAAGCUCUUACUGAAGCCCAGGCAGCGAUGUCCCAGACCCAGUCAGAGCUGCAGGAGUCCCAGACCAAGCUCCGGGAACUCCAGACCUCCAGUAAGGAGCAGAACCAGAAACUGGAGCAGGAGGUGACACAAGCCUGGGCUGACCGAGAUGCUGCUGCCAGUGCUCUGGAGAAGUUGGUUUCUACCCAUAAGGCAGUGCUGCAGGAGAAAAAGCAACAAGUACUCCACCUAGAGGAGAUGGAACAGAAACUGUACCAAGAGGUGAGUUCACUUAAACACAUUAGCGUGCAGUUAAGUUGCCAUUCUUUUCUCAUUUCAGUCCCCAGGCCCCAUCAUUAA